UGGGGAAUAUUGGACAAUGGGCGAAAGCCUGAUCCAGCCAUGCCGCGUGUGUGAAGAAGGUCUUCGGAUUGUAAAGCACUUUAAGUUGGGAGGAAGGGCAUUAACCUAAUACGUUAGUGUUUUGACGUUACCGACAGAAUAAGCACCGGCUAACUCUGUGCCAGCAGCCGCGGUAAUACAGAGGGUGCAAGCGUUAAUCGGAAUUACUGGGCGUAAAGCGCGCGUAGGUGGUUUGUUAAGUUGGAUGUGAAAUCCCCGGGCUCAACCUGGGAACUGCAUUCAAAACUGACUGACUAGAGUAUGGUAGAGGGUGGUGGAAUUUCCUGUGUAGCAGUGAAAUGCGUAGAUAUAGGAAGGAACACCAGUGGCGAAGGCGACCACCUGGACUAAUACUGACACUGAGGUGCGAAAGCGUGGGGAGCAAACA
rnacentral:rRNA from 1 species